rnacentral:lncRNA from 1 species
GUUAUUGUGUUUAUAUGGAAUGGGAUGGAAGGCAUAACUGCACCAUGUACUCUCUCUUCCUGGCAUCAGGUCACUGUCUGUUUUCUUCCUAGUGACAAAAGGCUGAUCGCAGAGGGACCUGGGGAAACUGUACUUGUUGCAGAGGAAGAAGCGGCACGAGUGGCGCUCAGGAAGCUUUACGGAUUCACGGAGAACAGGCGGCCCUGGGACUACUCCAAGCCCAAAGAGAGCUCAAGAGCAGAGAAAACCAGCAUUGCCAGCUAGGCAGCAAGGGUGUGUGUGACGUCAUCACCACUGAGCACAGCAGAGAGACAGUGCCGGAGGCGAACAGCUCAGAAUAUGGGAGCAAUGUCUCAUUGCUCUCACUGUGCCCUACAAUUAAACAGGUGUUUAUCAGGUGACGGGAAUUUGUUUCAUUUUUUUUCUGUUUCUCUUACUACUGGUUUAUUACUGUGUAUGAUUUGUACAGU